rnacentral:rRNA from 1 species
UCCAGACUCCUACGGGAGGCAGCAGUGGGGAAUAUUGCACAAUGGGGGAAACCCUGAUGCAGCGACGCCGCGUGAGCGAUGAAGUAUUUCGGUAUGUAAAGCUCUAUCAGCAGGGAAGAAAAUGACGGUACCUGACUAAGAAGCCCCGGCUAACUACGUGCCAGCAGCCGCGGUAAUACGUAGGGGGCAAGCGUUAUCCGGAUUUACUGGGUGUAAAGGGAGCGUAGACGGUGAAGCAAGUCUGAAGUGAAAGGCGGGGGCUCAACCCCCGGACUGCUUUGGAAACUGUUUGACUGGAGUGCAGGAGAGGUAAGUGGAAUUCCUAGUGUAGCGGUGAAAUGCGUAGAUAUUAGGAGGAACACCAGUGGCGAAGGCGGCUUACUGGACUGUAACUGACGUUGAGGCUCGAAAGCGUGGGGAGCAAACAGGAUUAGAUACCCUGGUACA